rnacentral:lncRNA from 1 species
GGAAAGAUGGCAACCUUCCAGAUCCGUUAUCUCAUCUGUAAAGGGUGGUGAUGAUGACUCUUGCUGCCCUCUCAGAGGGGUGAAGAUGCUUUAUAAAUGAUGAAAUCUGAAGGUGUCUUGUAAACUGUAAAACUCCAUACACAUUGUUGAUGCCUGCCUGUGCAAGAGCUGGAAAUGACAAGGCAUCAGUUUCAGAUGCAGUAAUAUCCCACCCCUACCCCAUCCGAGAAGAUCUGCUGACAGGAGGGUCUGCGUCUCAGGCAUGACUUUCCACCAGCAGUUCAAGAAACACAAGAGUUCUCAGAGUUUCUGGGAUGAAGGUCAGUUCCCUGGGGAGCUGAGAGGCGCUGCUCAGCAAGCAAGGAGUUUGGCCCACUGCGUGCCUGUCAUCUUUGCAGGUUCCCAAGAGUUUAAUGAUGGUGCCACAAGUUUGCACACUGCUGCUGGCUGAAACUGUCAAUACUCAUCAGAUUUCAAAGUGGAACUGUAGACCCUGUGCCUUCGAAGAACUGGGUUCGGGUAUCUGUAGAGUUGAGCACAGACUUAAGAGACCAUCAGUGAGGAAAGGCCUUACAGGGUGAAACUGCUCACAAUGAUUAAAAGUGGGGAAGUGAGAACAGCUGUCUGGGAAAAUAACGCCACUCAGCGAUGGGAAUCGGGAUGGUGAGGGGAGAAAUGGAGAGCUGAGAUUGUGAGCAGACAGGAUGGCCAGGCGACCACCAGAGCUAGCAAGCUGAGCGUGGACAGAUCAGCUGCUGCCAGCCGUGACCACUCUUGGGGAGGAAUUCUAGGAAACCAAGGGCGGGGCUCGGCAGUGAGGUUUGGAAGAGGUGGAGUCUGGGCCACACAGCAGGAGAGAGAAUGGGGCACAAGUCGAGUUUUACAAAGUCAGCAAAAGCUCUGAAUUCAAGCUCAGAUUCACACCCUUAUCCCGGCAAGAUUCAGUCAGUGAGUGAAACACGUGAGGAUCAGCUGUGUUCCUCUCACCCCGUAAGGAAUUCUAGGGGAAUGCGGCCUCACCACUUAAAGCCAGUUCCCCUGAAAUUUAACCCCUUCGUGAGGGCUUUGCUACCUGUCCAACUAUUCUUUUUGUCACCACCUUAGCACUCCAAGGAUUUAAAAAUUGACAUCUAGGGUAAAGCAUCUGAUUUAUUGCUUUUCUAAUAAGUAUAUAUUAAAUAUACACCAUUUAAAGAAUGAUGGAAUUGAGAGUGCCUUUGGGUUGUAGAAAGUGGGAGGAGAGUUUAAAAGAGCAAUCUUGAGCCAGAAGUCAGAAGAAUUUUAUUUUUAUCAAUCUAAACUCUUUUCACACUAUGGAAAAUGCAAAAGGCAAGGAGUGGACCUCCACGGAGAAGUCAGGGGAAGCAGACAUGACUCAAAUUUGAGUGGUAUCUGUAGACACUAGAGAGGAAGAGCGGGCUUCGAGUGAGCCAAGCACAUCCACUUUAUCAAGAACCUCAGCAAAGGGAACUGAAGGACAAAGGUCUAUGAAGGAUGACAACGCAUCCCGUCCACAGGAGAACGCUCAAUGCAACAACAGCCUAAAACCUUGGAAGAAGGUAACCAUUCCUCCAUUACCUUCCAAAGUACCACCUGUCAAGCUGCUUCACGGAGACAUUGUGGGGGCCUGGUGCCAUCAUUUAAAGCUGAGCACUAGAGGCUAGAAACUAGAAGCAUAUAAGUGACUCUGUGAAUAUGCUUACCCAAAUCAAAAGAACAUUCCUGUCACAGCCAAGGAGAAAAAGUUACAGGCACGGUCAUAGAGAAAAUCAAAGGUGGACAAGGGAGAAAUGUCUCUGGAAAGGUCUAAGAAAAAGAUGUCAUCUGAGGGGACUGACCUCCAGAAGUGGCUCCUUCCCCUGAGGGACAGGGUGCCUGCACUGGAAGAGUCUACCGUCUACCACUCUCCUUGCAAGAGUUAAUACUGAGACAACGACUUCCACCUGGAGGCUGUGUUGGCCCCCUGGACCAGAACUGCAGCCAGGGUCUGGAAGACGGAGGCAGUGGAAUGGCCACAAGAGAUUAAUGAUGUCGGGUGCUGCAUCGUCCCCAGGAGAAGUCUUCCUGUGGACAUUUGGUUGGGUUCCCCUGCAGUUUCAUGCUGAUCAAGCCUGGGUUCCUGAAAAACAAGGGAAAGUGAGUGCGUGCUUCUUGCUCCCUGCCUGCCAUUUGCCAAUGUGCUGUGCUCCAGAUGUGUUCAGAGGAACAACGUGUUGAUGAAGAGCCUCCAAUGAGAUUAAAAUACGAGGGGAAGGAGCAUCUCUCUGGUUGUAAGUCGUAGAGGCAAGGUUACUACAGUCAAGCUCCCUGACAGCUGAACUCCCGCCCUACCCACACCCUCCAUCCUUCCUACCUACAAGGCUCACAGUAGACUGGUGGGUGGCAGGUGUUACCCGUAGACCCCUAAAGGAGGCUGCUUUGCGCUGGAAUACAUGGUUUGGGAUACAGAGACUCUUUUGUUUAAAAAUGGAAAAACAUUUCACAAGUUACCAUUCAUUCCAGCUAACAAGAUGAAAAAGUCAUUCACGCUGCCAAGCGUCUGCCCUUCUGAAAUAGAAAUGCCCUCCACAGCUUCUAAGUGGGAACAUCUUCAGUGGAGCAUCGUGAAGAAGUUGAAUGAAGAAACAGCAAUGGUUUGCUUCCAUGCUGGAGUUCCCUCUUCAGAAUGCUGCCUGCCUUAGAGCUGCUCCCUUCUAAUUUAAGUGUCUGACUUCGAACUGUUGAGUAUUUUAAGCCACAGAGAAAGCUGUUGUUCUCUCUCCCUCCCUCCCCAAAACACGAUUCUUAAAAUACAAAACGACAUUUUCCAAGUUUUCUUAGUAACCUGAGACUGUUUGUUUAUGGUUUAACUCUGGGAUAAAAAUACAGGGCACUUUGCCAGUGUUAUUAUUUGUCUCGUAUAUUUCUGCUGCUCAAAAAUGUUUAAGGCGGGCCGGCCUGGUGACACAGUGGUUAAAUUUGCACAUUCCGCUUGGGGGGCCCACGUUCACUGGUUCGGAUCCCAGGUGUGGACCUACAUGCUGCUUGUCAAGCCAUGCUGUGGCAGGUGUCCCACAUAUAAAAUAGAGGAAGAUGGGCACAGAUGGCUCAGGGCCAAUCUUCUUUAGCAAAAAGAG